GUAGUUGUUUAAUUUCCUUCUUUUGUAUGAAUAGGGCGACGAAGACGAAGAUGACGAGUCACCUGACUCGAUGCUCACACGAGUCUUAAAGCAGAAGGCGAUCGACUUACUUUGCUUAGACCAUCACACCAUGAUUCGGCUUGAUCGGCAUUUACAAGCGAGAAACUAGAAAGAUCACUUGCUGCACAUAGUAUGGUUGCAGCAGCAAUACAUGAUGGCCAAUACUCAAGUAAACUAGCUUCUGCAAAAGUCAAACUUUUUGGUCAACUUCUUUUAUAAUUUGAAUUUAGAAGCGCAUGCAAUGCAAGAGUACUAAUACUAUAUUUUUAUUUUGUGAUUAUUUAAGCCUGUAUAAGAAGCAUUUGAUUUGUUAGUACCAACCAAACACCUACAUGCAUGCGGAACAUAAACUCUUU
rnacentral:lncRNA from 1 species